CCUACGGGGGGCUGCAGUAGGGAAUUUUUCGCAAUGGACGAAAGUCUGACGGAGCAAUGCCGCGUGAAGGAAGAAGGUUUUCGGAUUGUAAACUUCUGUAGUAGGGGAAGAAAGAUAAUAGUAGGAAAUGGCUAUUAAGUGACGGUACCUUACGAGAAAGGGACGGCUAACUACGUGCCAGCAGCCGCGGUAAUACGUAGGUCCCGAGCGUUAUCCGGAAUUAUUGGGCGUAAAGAGCAUGUAGGCGGUUAUAAAAGUUUGAUGUUAAAGCUAAUGGCUCAACCAUUAAGAUGCAUUGAAAACUGUAUAACUAGAAUACUGGAGAGGCAAGUGGAAUUCCAUGUGUAGCGGUGGAAUGCGUAGAUAUAUGGAGGAACACCAAUGGCGAAGGCAGCUUGCUGGACAGAGAUUGACGCUGAGAUGCGAAAGCGUGGGUAGCAAACAGGAUUAGAUACCCUUGUAGUC
rnacentral:rRNA from 1 species